rnacentral:rRNA from 1 species
GCAAAUCAAUAUAAUCUGAAAUUGUUAUUUUUACUUUUAUUUAUAAAUUUAAUUAAUUUUGAGAAAAAUUAUUAUAUUGUUUUUGUAUUAUAUUAUGAUUUAAUUUUUUUAAUAAUAGUUUAUUUGUACUGUAAAGGAUUAUAGAAUUAUUUGAUUAUUUUUAUAAGUUGAUUUUAUUUAUUGUACCUUGUGUAUCAGGAUUUAUUUAAAAUUAAUAUUUAUUUUAUUAUUCUCGAUUUUAUAUGAGUUAAUUAAUUAUUUUUUUUAUUGUGUUAUAAUUAUUUAUAAUAAUUGAUUAGUAAUGAUAUGUUAUUCGUUUUUAAUGGUAUCUAGUUUCCUAAGAAAUAAAUUUAAUUUAUGUUUAUUUAUUAUUAAUAAUAUAAAUUUAUUUAUUAAUAUUAAAUAAUUGUCAAUAUUUUGAGGGAUAAGCUUUGAAGUAUAAAUUAAUAAAUUUUAUUUUAAAAUAAGUCUAGUGAAUUUAAAGGUGGUUAUUUCUAUUUAAGUGUGUUGAAAUUUUACUUACUUAUGAUUACAUUUAUAUUAAUUUUUAUUUUUUUAUUAAAAAUAUUUAAUUAAUAAUUAGUUAAUUGUUAUAAUGAUAAAAUUAGUAUAAAUUAUUAGUGGAAUUAUUAAUUUUUGGUAAUAAGUUAUUAGGAAUUAGGCAAAUAUAAUACUCGAUUGUUUAUCAAAAACAUUUUUUCUUGUGUUUGUUAUGAAAUAUGACCUGCCCACUGAAUUAUUUAAUGGCCGCGGUAUUUUGACCGUGCAAAGGUAGCAUAAUCAUUAGUUUUUUAAUUGAAGACUGGAAUGAAUGGUUGAACGAGGUAUUAACUGUUUUUUUAUUUUUAUUAGAAUUUAAUUAUUUAGUGAAAAGGCUUAAAUUGUAUUAUGGGACGAGAAGACCCUAUAGAUUUUUACAUUAAUAAUUUAAUUUUGUUAAUUAUUUUUGUUACUUAUUUUAUUGUUUGGUUGGGGUGAUUUAAAGAUAUAUAAAACUCUUUAAUUUUUAAUACUUGUUUGUGAAUUGUUGAUUCAUUAUUAUUGAUUUAUAAGAUUAAAUUACCUUAGGGAUAACAGCGUUAUUUUUUUUGAGAGUUCUUAUUGACAUAAAAGAUUGCGACCUCGAUGUUGGAUUAAGAUAAAUUUUGGGUGUAGAUUUUCAUAUAAUUAAGUCUGUUCGACUUUUAAAAUCUUACAUGAUCUGAGUUCAAACCGGUGUGAGCCAGGUUGGUUUCUAUCUAUAAUUUUUUAAAAUAUUUUAGUACGAAAGGACCAAAUUUUUUGAAUAAUUUUUAUUUUUAGUAUUAUUUUAAAUACUAUUUUGGCAGAAUAAGUGUAAUAAAUUUAGAAUUUAUUUAUGUAGAUUAUUUUUC